rnacentral:rRNA from 1 species
ACACGACUACAUUAGAUACCCCUGUAGUCCCAGCCCUAAACGAUGCGCGUUAGGUGUAUCGGUGACCACGAGUCACCGAGGUGCCGAAGGGAUACCGUGAAACGUGCCGCCUGGGAAGUACGGUCGCAAGGCUGAAACUUAAAGGAAUUGGCGGGGAGCACCACAACGGGUGGAGCCUGCGGUUUAAUUGGACUCAACGCCGGGAAGCUCACCGGAUAAGACAGCGGAAUGAUUGCCGGGCUGAAGACCCUGCAUGACCAGCUG